AAGAAAGAUAGAAAAGAAAUAAAAAAAGAUAGAAGAAGAAGAAGAAGAAGAAAGAAGGAAAAGGGAUUUUUAAAGGGCCAAAUAAUAUUAACAAAGAUCUAUCCAAGAGUUAUAAUGUAAUUUUACUGAGUUCCCGCCAAUUUCUUCUUGGCGGCUGCUCGAGGCGGCCUAACGGCCGUUGGUCCGAGAUACUACCUCGAAAGUGGCAGGUGCAAGCCGGGCCAAACUUCAUUAAACACAAUCCCAUCUGCGCCCUCAUACUUCCGAGAGAAGAAGAAGAAGAAGAAGAAGAAGAAGAAGAAGAACGUCUUGUAUGCUGUGCUUGCUUUCUCCAGACGAAGAAAAAAAAAAGAAAACAAAAAAAUAGAAGAAAGAAAAAGAAAAAACAAGAUAGAGAAAAGAUGAUAACUAUUAUUAAAGAAAUUUCUUAUCUAUGAAAUAAAAGGAGUCCCUAAUGGUAAAGUGGUCCCACAAAAACCAUAACUAUCAACACGUCCUCGCUCGAAUACAUAUAUAUAUAUACACCUUACAAGGAAAAUAAAGAAAAGGUCCACUUGUUGUGUGGUGGUAGUAUGAAAGGCUA